UUUCUUGACUAUAUGCAACUUCUGAUAAAUGAUGUCUAGACAAAAGAUAAUGUAAACUGUUAUCAAUUAACAUGUCUAGUUUAGGCAGACUUCAACCAAGUACUGAGCGGCACUGGACACAGGCUGGCAGAGGAACUUAACUCCAUCAACAGGUGCAGAGGCCUCCAAACAGAGAACUAAGUAUGUGAGUAUAAAGGAAAAGGAAAUGAAAAGCAAGAAGAGCAGCCAACUUGUAUGCUGAGUCUUCGGUGGAAAAAUUUUCUUCUUCCAGAAAUGAGAAUAAAUCUUAAGAAGUCAGGAAAACAGCAGGCCCGCUGCCCUGAGAGGAGGAGGAUGGAGCCUUUGGCUCCUCCGGCUCCUGCGUUUUCUGGCCUUUUAUUGGAGCGCGCACUGCAAGCCCGCCGGGCUGUGUGGCAGGCUACCUUUCCUCCGCACUCCUGUCCAAAGCCUGGGCUGCGGACUGUAAUGUCUCACACAUGUUUCCUGCAGACAGCCUUCGCUCCGGUCCCAAAACAAGUAUGUGCCUCAUAGCACUCAAAAUAAUAAUAAUUAUAAUAAGCCAUGAUUUCUAAAAUAAAUGGAAUAAAUCUUCUCUUACAA